UGUAACAGCAUCUCCAUAUGGAU
rnacentral:miRNA from 1 species